AUGUAUUCGAUGCAAUCAGCCAAAAAAUACUCUACAAAAGAGAUGAUAAAAGGUAAAAUGGUGGUCUUGGACUAUGGAGAGGGUCCUAAGCUGAAUCCGCUGGCCCGAGUUCUUCCAUGGCCUGCAGCCAUUAGUGGUGUAACGGCACUCUCGGUCGAUGGUUCAUUCCGGGAGGAAGAUGAAACGGCUGUGGCCGGAAUGAUUCUACGAGGGCCUGAUGGCUCGGUUAUUUUUUCGGCAUACUGCUACUUGUUUAACUGCAAUGAUGCUCUUGAGGCGGAGGUCCACGCUUUGAUGAUCGAUUUGGCGAUUGCUCGACAACAUAUGGAGCUUCCGGUCUUGGUGCAGUCUGACUCGUCGACUGCUUUAUCUUGUCUGUCUGGUUCUGCUUAG
rnacentral:rRNA from 1 species